UCCCGAAGGAGGGCAUGCUGGCCGUCACGUGAGAGUGACGUAACCAUUUGCACAGUACGGAAGCUUUAAGAUACAAUUUAAGUUGAUACACCCGAAUGUGAGUCCUAAUUUUGUCCAAUCUGUCAGAACACCGUCGAAUUCCUCGUAGUCACCACACCUUUGUGAUUCCUGAACCUGGAGGGGCGCAAAACCAAAAUUGAGUGGGUCAGUAAAACAAUUCUUUUCCAAAUCCAAACAUUUCUCAAAACGUUGUAACCCCUCUCCGUAAAACCUGUAUACUUUCCCAGAAAUGUAAAAUAUAAUAUAUAUACAUAUAUAUUCUCAAGACUUCAAGUCAUUAACUCAACAUUUUCAUCAUAAUUAUGCCAUGCCACAUCAUCUCAACAUUUCUCAUAUUAAUUAUGCCAUGCCACAUCAUCUCAACAGUAAUAAGGUAUGAAUGCAUCAACAUAAUCAUAUCAGGUGCAAGAAAGUAAUCAACCGUAGGCCCUCUAAUAGCCCUGUACGGUUGAACCUAGAGCUCAAAAUCUAUCACUCUCACACUCUGCCGGAGUCACUCCGCGUGACCUGUACGGCCUUCUGCACAUAAGUUACGCUCUAGUGCUUCUCAUAAAUCAUCUGUGCACAUAAUCUAAGGUCACCCACCAGUCGGAAUCUCACUAACACUCUCGCGACUGGCCUGUCGUACCCACUCCGCGUGGACUGUACGACUAGCAUCUACUUGGAUCCAAGACGAGCAUGCGAUGCGGUGAAUACUAUAAGCACUAAACUAUGGUGCAGGAUUUGAGCUCAAUAUACAUCAACAUCAUCAUAACAGAAAUAAAUACUCACCUGUGCGUCCACCGCACCAUUUCAUACAUAUGCAUCAUAAAUCAAUUCUUACCUGUGCGUCCACCGCACCAAUUCAUACAUAUGCAUCAUAUAUUAAUUCUUACCUGUGCGUCCACCGCACCAAUUCAUACAUAUGCAUCAUAUAUUAAUUCAUGCAUGGCAUUUCAACUCACAUUUCUAUAUACUUUUCAUAUCAAUUCUAUGCAUGGUAUUUCACUUCCCGUUUUUCCACAUAACUCAUAUGCAUUUCAUUUUAAACAUAUUUUCAUUUCAAUUCAAUUUCUGGGAAACGUCAAGUAUAUAUAUAUACGGAAAACAAAACUGCCCACUCACAGAUUACAUCGACGUCUCGUAAGUCGCUGAGCAUCCCUUGGCCAUGCCCGAUGCUCGCAUAAGCCUCACCUUGCACAACACCUAGUUCGCCGUGGUUUGGCCGGAAACUGCCUCGAAAUCCUCGGAGGUCGCCGGAAACUGGGUAUUUUUCAAAUGAGUAUAACUUCUUCAAUACUCAACGAAAUUGAGUGAAACAAAAAGGAAAGUUGUAGUAUUUGACGAGACGAAGAGAUUGAUACCUACCUCAACUCCUAACUCACCGGGGAUUCGCCGGAAAGAGCCUCGAAAGCUCCGGCCAAACUUUGAACUUGUCGAUCUCCGUGUUCUUACGUCCAAAAACUUCCAACGAAGCACUCCGAGCUUCCUUGGGACUUCCUUAAGCUCACUGUGAGCUUGGUUUCACCUAAAACAAAGCCAAUUCGAAGAUCAUGAACAGUGCUCUUCACGGGAACUUUGAAACUAGGGGUUUUCCGAAGCAAAACUUACCUGAAAUGGAUACCAACGUGAUCGUGAAGUCCUCAGGAUUCCAAUGGUGGUCUCAAACUUGACGUUGGUAUAGAUUUAGGGUGGUUUUGUGGUGGUCCGUGUGAGUUCAAAGGAGAGGGAGAGAGAAAGUGAGGUCUGAGGAAGAGAGAGAGAGUACAUACGGGAAAUGGGGAGGGAAUCAGGGUAGGAGGCCCUACUUAAAUCCCAAACACAACUUUAAACAUACUAAUGUAAAUCCAAUUGUUAAAUUUUCGCCCCUUAGUCCCGCUUAAGGGCAUUUUGGUCUUUUCACGUCAUCGGAAUUAAAAUUCCGGGACGGGCUGUGACAAUCUUCCCUCCUUAUAGAAUUUCGUCCCCGAAAUUCCAGCAACCAACUAUAUCAACCAUACUCCAACAAUAGCUUCGGUUAAAAAUCUCUCAUCCGAUUCUUUUCCUCCCACAUAAUUUUCCACUCAAUGAUUUCCUUCACAAAGCUUUUACCACUUACUCUGUCUUAAUUCUCAGGACCUUCUUUUUCCAAUCCAAAGUCAUCCUUGGUUCCUUAUCAAGUCGAAUCCAAUUUAACUCUCAAUAGUUGCAUCAGAAUCCCAUGUGACGAAUUUGCCACCUAGUGACAACGCAUCGAAAUAUAAUACAUUAUGCACCUUAGCCAAUUUUGAAGGCAUCACAAACUUAUAUGCAACUUCAUCGAUUCCUUUAAUGAUCAAAACGGACUGAUGUGUUCAAGACUUAUCUUGUCUCAUUUCUGAAUCUUACUAUUUCUGUUCAUGGUGAAAUUCCAAAAAUAUCGAAUCAUGAAACACAUCAUGCACUUACAACAACUCUGGAAGCCAUUUAAAUAUGUAUUCAACUUCACCAACCUUUCGAUGAUCACAUAAAAUUCGGUUCACUUAGGAUUUAACUUGCCUUCCUAUCCAGACCGAAUCACACUUUUCCAAGGUGAAAACUUCGAAAAUAUAAAACCAUCUGUCUUAUACACUCGAUUAGUGGCAUAUCCCUCUGUUAAUCUCUUUUGCCAUUCCUGGUUACUUUCAGGUUAACUUAAUCACCUGAAUACUUUGAGGAGACUCAUCCAUAGUCUCAGGGUUUACAAAAACUCUUUCUUGAUCGAAUCUUUCUCUACCCAGAAAUAUUCCAUUCACAAGUCAACAAAACACACACAUGACACACUUCAUGAACCUUAUGGCUUCACUUCGGAAACUGCGCAACCAACAUACUUAAGAAACUUAGCAGUUCCGUAAACCAAUUCUUCUUUCUAUAAAACAAAUAAGUACCGUUACUCAACCCUGGAGUAAAUGUACUAACUUGGUACAUUGACCAACUAUCGCUUCAAAUUCAAUCAUAACCAUCCUAUGUAUCAUGAAACUUGUACACAUAAUCCAAAGUAAUAUUUUUCCAUUUCCACUGCGAAACAGAAAAUAACCGUCUCAAUCCAAAGGUUUACUUCUUUCUACUUCAAUCUGUUGACCAAUAAAAACGUCAAAUGGUAUACUAGAUCUCAAUACUUUUGGAAUAUUGCAGAAGUUGAACAGUGAACUUCGUCCAAUAUUUGCUUGCUUCAAAUCCUCAGCAUUAGGCACAUACUUUUUGUUUUCUUGUAUCCACAUACCAUUUGAUUCACGAAUCAUGUACUCAUUCUUUUUCCCUUCUUUCUCUGCCUUGGUUAAUUCUUAAAUUUCCUCGUCAAACAUUUAAAUUUCGAGUACGACCUUACCAAACAGGCCUAACUUGAAAAUUAACAAGUAUAACUUCUUAUCGAUCUUUCAUUCUUAACUUUACUUUAAUUGAUUUUCAAUCCACGAGAAGAUAAUCUUGGCAAGCAUGCCUGACAUUAAUCUUACUGUAGUCUUCUCACCAAGUGCUUCAGCUAGAACAAUUCUACGAUCACCCUGAUCGUACAAUCAUGUUCAUUUAACAAUACAAUUCACUUUCGCUGCCUCAUAUCAAAAUCUUUCCAAGUAAUGAAUAUUGAAGACUUUUGGAUUCGUAAAAUCUUGCAUUCUUAUCAACAUUUAAGGUCUCCAUAACUUCAACGCAAUGAUGGUAAUCGUGACUUCCAAAUCACCAGUAGGGUAAUUCAUCUCAUGAGAUUCCAUUUGUCGUGAAACGUAUGCAAUCACCCUAACAUUUGUAUCAAUACAAAUCCAAGAUAGCCUGGUAAGCUAAGAAAUUCCGAAUCUCAAUUAUAGCUCGUGGUUGUUCCAAAUUCUCAAUUUCUGUUAUCUUUUAAGGAUUCACUUGAAUACCUUAAGAAUAUAUAACAAAUCUCAGAAUGCCACCUGAUUCAUCUAACUUUAGCAUUUGCUACUUAGCAUACAACCAACGUUCUCUCAAUCUUUGCUUCACCGACUUAAUACGUUUACAUGCUCUGCUCUGGCUCAGAAUAUGCCAGAAUAUCUUCAAUGAAAAUGAUAUCAAUUUAUCAAGGCAUUAUUGGAAUACUUCAUCCAUCAACUCAUAAAACCGCAUGAGUAUCCACAUAGCAUCACCAAACUUCAUAAGGACCAUAACAAGUCCAGAAAACCAUCUUAUGAUCAACGUCACUUAUAAUAUUCAAUUGGUAGUAACCAGAUCUCAAUUCAAUCUUUGAAUCUUCGCAAUUACUUCUGAGCUGGUUAAAUAAACAUCAGUACAUCACCAUGGAUAACGGUUCUCAAUCGUUACCCGACUCCAUUGUCUAUAAUCAAUGAACAGUCUCAAGAUCCAUUUUCUUCCUCACCAACAAACUGGGGCUCCUCAAAAGUGUUGUACUAGGUUGAAUAAAACUUUUAUCAACCAAUUCUUUCAACGGAAUUUCCAAUUCCCUUAACUCAUCAUGAACCAAUCUUUAACAUAAAUCUAUACCUGGCAACAAAUCAAUAGUGAAUCUCAUAUCUCUGCCUGAAGGCAAUCCAGGUAUACUUUCAGGGAAGACAUCAAGAAAAGUCUAACCCUUUCGACAUUAUUCACACUACUCCAAACAACAUCAUUUAGCACCACAUGAGCUAAGUAUUUUUGGGCAGCCUUUCAAAACAAUAUCUUUGCUUUCACAUCAUAAAUAAUGGCUGAACUCAUUUCACUUUGUAUGCCCACCAAAGUAACCUCUAAUUAAUCAACUCGAUGGAAAGUAACUGGUUUCCCGUAACAUUCCAUCUAGUCACAACUAUAAACAAUCAAUCUAAUGGAAUAAAAUUAACUGACCCAAUACAUACUUUAUUAUUACUGAACAUUCUAAAUAAGUACAACACUAACAUAAAAUAACCUACCGGUUUGCUUGCUUAACGAAUCCACGAAUGAGUUAUUAAUAUUACGGUCUGCAGCCCGCAAUACUGAUAAAUCAUCGUUGUCUCGAUAAGUAGGCAACCACUCUCAAAGAUAUAACAUACAUAAUAAGAAAUAUAUCAGUCGAAGUCAACUAGAAUGAUCAAUACGGCUGAUUCAACUCUUAUCUCAAUAAUACGUCGGCCGGAUCCACUCCGCGUGGACGGUACGGCCGAACCUAUAACUCACCAAUUUCUCAUGUGUCAGUCGAAUCCACUUCUCAUGGUCUGUACGGCUGAACAUAUAACUCAUCAAAUCUCUCUGUACUCACGGUCAAUCCGACCAAACUACUAAGUCCAUAACUCUGCUGAAUCGACACUAUGAUAUCAUGGAAAAUUGUUGAGUACAACUGAUUCUAGGGACGAUUCACAAUUAUGUGUCCCCUCUGUUCACAUAAACACAUUCAUUAAUUUCACACUUCCCAAAGUGUUAAUUUUUUACCUGCUGCACAAGGUACAUUUCCUUUACUCGAGACACCUUGUCUCAAAUAUCGGGGAUUACCAGUAUAUCCAUCACUUUUAUUCUGACCAGCGACAUUAAAACCUCAGCUGGAAGAAUUAACUCUAGCUUCACUUCUUUCGAAGCUCUGAAUCUUUCUAUAUCCUUGAUAUGACAAAUCAUUAACUGUAUCGUCUUCAUUUGAUUCCCAUUCAUUUCUUAUUCUUCUUUAUUCUCGUUGCUCAUGUUCUCAGAGUCCUCAAGACUCAACAGCAUCUCGUAUAUUCCUGGUAAGAAGUACAAUGGAUAAUGGUCACCCAAAAUACCACUUCCCUUUUGCCACCCAGCUUAAAACAACAUAACACCUCCACCAAAUUAACAACAAUAUCUGGAUGGAACGAGGCAAGUCUGAAAACUUUCUAUAAUAUCCCUCGAUCAUCACUUUCCUUGUCUCAUAUUUGUAAACUCUUGUUUACUACCAUCGAUAAAUGCCGGAGGGAUAAAAUUUUCCUUAAACAAGUCCUUAAACAAUUUAAAUCGGCUGCUUCCUCUGGUGACAACAAUUAAUACUCCUGCUUCCAUCAGGAUACACGUUCAUAACUCAAACCAGGUAGUCGUCUCGACCCACCUGUCAGAAGGAAAUUUCCUUUAACUUGCAUAUUCCGAAACAUCUUUUCCAAAUGGUUAAACCGUCACUUCGUUCCCUCAGGUUCAUCAUUUCUCUUAGGUGAUUCAAGUUCAACUCAUUACCCAUCUUAAAAUGUCCAUUUUGAUAAUAUACUGAAUCACCAUAAUAAUAGUUUCCCCCUAAACCGCUAAAUCAGGGAGACUAAGUUCCUCUAACUACGUGGUUUGCUACGAGGCGGUGUAGUUCUGACAGAAUUUACUAGAACUUCUCAAAAUGUCCAAGAUUGCAACCAUGCUCUGAUACCAACUGACACACCCCGUCCCGAAGGAGGGCAUGCUGGCCGCCACGUGAGAGUGACGUAACCAUUUGCACAGUACGGAAGCUUUAAGAUACAAUUUAAGUUGAUACACCCGAAGGUGAGUCCUAAUUUUGUCCAAUCUGUCAGAACACCGUCGAAUUCCUCGUAGUCACCACACCUUUGUGAUUCCUGAACCUGGAGGGGCGCAAAACCAAAAUUGAGUGGGUCAGUAAAACAAUUCUUUUCCAAAUCCAAACAUUUCUCAAAACGUUGUAACCCAUCUCCGUAAAACCUGUAUACUUUCCCAGAAAUGUAAAAU
rnacentral:lncRNA from 1 species